GCCUAGGUGGCUCAGUUGGUUGAGCGUCCGACUUCAGCUCAGGUCAUGAUCUCCCAGUUCGUGGGUUCGAGCCCUGCGUCAGGCU
rnacentral:tRNA from 1 species